rnacentral:rRNA from 1 species
CGCCCCGGGUGCGUCGCACCCCCGGAACCAGGCGCCCGCCGGAGGGACCAACCAAACUCUUUUCUGUAGUCCCCUCGCGGACGUUAUUUCUUACAGCUCUGAGCAAAAAUUCAAAAUGAAUCAAAACUUUCAACAACGGAUCUCUUGGUUCUGGCAUCGAUGAAGAACGCAGCGAAAUGCGAUAAGUAAUGUGAAUUGCAGAAUUCAGUGAAUCAUCGAAUCUUUGAACGCACAUUGCGCCCGCCAGUAUUCUGGCGGGCAUGCCUGUCCGAGCGUCAUUUCAACCCUCGAACCCCUCCGGGGGGUCGGCGUUGGGGACCUCGGGAGCCCCUAAGACGGGAUCCCGGCCCCGAAAUACAGUGGCGGUCUCGCCGCAGCCUCUCCUGCGCAGUAGUUUGCACAACUCGCACCGGGAGCGCGGCGCGUCCACGUCCGUAAAACACCCAACUUCUGAAAUGUUGACCUCGGAUCAGGUAGGAAUACCCGCUGAACUUAAGGAU